CCUACGGGGGGCUGCAGUGGGGAAUAUUGACAAUGGGGGCAACCCUGAUCCAGCCAUGCCGCGUGUGUGAAGAAGGCCCUCGGGUUGUAAAGCACUUUCAGUGAGGAAGAACGCCUGGUGGUUAAUACCCAUCAGGAAAGACAUCACUCACAGAAGAAGCACCGGCUAACUCCGUGCCAGCAGCCGCGGUAAUACGGAGGGUGCGAGCGUUAAUCGGAAUUACUGGGCGUAAAGCGCGCGUAGGUGGCUUGAUAAGCCGGUUGUGAAAGCCCCGGGCUCAACCUGGGAACGGCAUCCGGAACUGUCAAGCUAGAGUGCAGGAGAGGAAGGUAGAAUUCCCGGUGUAGCGGUGAAAUGCGUAGAGAUCGGGAGGAAUACCAGUGGCGAAGGCGGCCUUCUGGACUGACACUGACACUGAGGUGCGAAAGCGUGGGUAGCAAACAGGAUUAGAUACCCUGGUAGUC
rnacentral:rRNA from 1 species